rnacentral:rRNA from 1 species
CACGUAGGGCGCAAGCGUUGUCCGGAAUUAUUGGGCGUAAAGAGCUCGUAGGUGGUCUGUUGCGUCCGCUGUGAAAUCUCGGGGCUUAACCCCGAGCCUGCAGUGGAUACGGGCAGACUAGAGGUAGGUAGGGGAGAAUGGAAUUCCUGGUGUAGCGGUGAAAUGCGCAGAUAUCAGGAGGAACACCGGUGGCGAAAGCGCUCAUCUGGCCCAAUACUGACGCUGAGGCGCGAAAGCUAGGGGAGCAAACGGG